GACGAACGCUGGCGGCGUGCCUAAUACAUGCAAGUAGAACGCUGAAGAGAGGAGCUUACUCUUCUUGGAUGAGUUGCGAACGGGUGAGUAACGCGUAGGUAACCUGCCUUGUAGCGGGGGAUAACUAUUGGAAACGAUAGCUAAUACCGCAUAACAAUGGAUGACACAUGUCAUUUAUUUGAAAGGGGCAAUUGCUCCACUACAAGAUGGACCUGCGUUGUAUUAGCUAGUAGGUGAGGUAAUGGCUCACCUAGGCGACGAUACAUAGCCGACCUGAGAGGGUGGUCGGCCACACUGGGACUGAGACACGGCCCAGACUCCUACGGGAGGCAGCAGUAGGGAAUCUUCGGCAAUGGGGGCAACCCUGACCGAGCAACGCCGCGUGAGUGAAGAAGGGUUUCGGAUCGUAAAGCUCUGUUGUAAGUCAAGAACGGGUGUGAGAGUGGAAAGUUCACACUGUGACGGUAGCUUACCAGAAAGGGACGGCUAACUACGUG
rnacentral:rRNA from 1 species